GGAUACAGAGGGAAUCUUCUGCUAAUACAUUCUUAGGACAGGUUUUAGGAUUUGUCAGAAUUUAUUAAGCAAACCAACAAGAAUGCUUCGGUAUUCCUUGGUGAAACAAGAUAACUUUUCUGAUCGUAUGGCUCUAGCUGACGACAUUUCAACUGAAUUUCUGCCCUAUCAACUUGAUGUUUAUGUAGUGUAUAAACAUGGUCAUUACGGGUAACGAGGAAUCAGGGUUUGAUUUCGGAGAGGAAGCCUGAGAAACGGCUGCCGCAUCCAAGGAAGACAGCAGGCGCGCAACUUUCCCUAUAUGAAUAACAUGAGGAAGUGAAGAGAAAUACUUGGCAGUGCCCUUUGGGUACUUUCCAGGAAUGGACGUAAUGUAAACGAUUCGUCUGAACGCAACAUUAGUGCAAGUAUGGUGCCAGCAGACGCGGUAAUACCAUCUAAUGUAAUGUACUCUAAAGUUGCUGCAAUUAAAACGCUCGUAGUUUGAUGAUUCGCACUCGGAAAUUGUCGGCGGUGGUGACUAUCACUGAUUUUUAUCGCCGCCAAGUGCUGUUUUCGAGUGUAAAUUAGUAUGUGUUCUUUGAUUGGCCUUUGUUGUGCUGAUUAGAGUGUGACAUACGACGUGCCUUGAGAAAAUCAGAAUGCUCAAAGUAGGCUUGUGCCUGAAUGUUAUAGCAUGGAACGAAUGAGUGUGCUGUGUCUUUUCAUCUUACGGGAGAUGUGCAAACAUCCGACCGAGAGUGAGAGACGUGCCGUUUCAGCAUGUUAUGUUGGUAUAAUGUGGUGAGAUGUAUUGAUUAAGAGAAGUAAUUGGAGACAUUAGUAUUUGGUAGUUAGAGGUGAAAUUCUUAGACCUACCAAGGACUAACAGAUGCGAAAGCGUUUGUCUAGAUUACAUUAAUUGAUCAAGAACGAAACAGCAGGGUUCGAAGACUAUUAGAUACAGUCCUAGUCUGCUGUGUAAACGAUGCCGACCUGGGAUUAGAUAGAUAACUACGAAAGAUUGUUAUUAUUUAGUCCCCCUGAGAAAUCUGGAGUGUUUGGGCUUUGGGGGGAGUAUAUCCGCAAGGAAGAAACUUAAAAGAAUUGACGGAUGGGCACCACAAGAUGUGGAACUUGCGGCUUAAUUCGACUUAACCCGGGGCAUUUCACUCAGCCAAGACAGCGAAGGGAUGGACAGAUUAGCGUUCUUUCCUGAUACGUUGGAUGGUGGUGCAUGGCCGUUCUUGGUUCGUGGAGUGAUUUGUGGGGUCGAUUCCUUAAACGAGCGAGACCCUUGUCUUCAUUUGAGGUUUGUUGGAGUGGUUUCAUGUUAGAAAUGAUGUGGAAUCUCAGAUAGAGGGUCGAGGUCGGCGACGGCCGAGGCGCUCUUCCCAGCAAGAGGCAGUGUUGGGUGCGAGCCUGGCGCUGUGUUAUGAAGAGACGUGUGGGUAUACCCAAAAAGCCACAGGAAGUGGGGUCAAAAACAGGUCUGUGAUGCCCUUAGAUGGCCGAGGCAGCACGCGAGUUACAAUGACAUUGACAGCGAGUUUCUGCUCUGAGAGGAGUGGGUAACCUUGUAGGCAAUGUCGUGAGGAGGAUUGUCCAUUGGAAUUUGGACAUGAAAUAGGAAUAUCUUGUAUGUGCUGCUCACUAGGCAGUACAGAAUGCGUCCCUGCCCAUUGUACACACCGCCCGUCGCUACUACCGAGUGAAUUUUGUCAUGAAGCCCUGGGACCGGACUCGACUCGUUCGAGCUGGAAACAGUGCUGAAUGGCAGAGU
rnacentral:rRNA from 1 species